UCCAGAGGUCCCAAUCGUUGUUCGGAUUUACUGGGCGUAAAGGGUGCGUAGGCGGUCGGGUAAGUUCGAUGUGAAAUCUCCAGGCUCAACCUGGAAACUGCAUUGAAUACUAUCCGGCUGGAGGGUUGGAGGGGAGACUGGAAUUCUCGGUGUAGCAGUGAAAUGCGUAGAUAUCGAGAGGAACACCAGUGGCGAAGGCGAGUCUCUGGACAACUCCUGACGCUGAGGCACGAAGGCCAGGGGAGCAAACGGG
rnacentral:rRNA from 1 species